UACGGCCACUUCACAUUGAAACCCAAGUUCCCGUAUGAUCACUGAAGUUCAGCAACAUCGAGCCUGGUCAGUACCUAGAUGGGUGACCGCUUGGAAAUAACGGGU